AUGACCUUAUAUCCAGGGCUACACACACGCUACAAUGGCCAGUACAAUGGGUUGCCAAGCCGCGAGGCGGAGCCAAUCCUAAAAAGCUGGCCUCAGUUCAGAUUGCAGUCUGCAACUCGACUGCAUGAAGUUGGAGUUGCUAGUAACCGCAGGUCAGCAAUACUGCGGUGAAUACGUUCCCGGGGAUU
rnacentral:rRNA from 1 species